AUGGUGGGCAAGAUGCCCAACGUCACCUGGCCCGAAGGUUCGUUUGCGGAGACGGUGAAGGGGUGGCAAUCGGGGUGGUUCUACAUCACCGAGCCGCGCGAUGCUAACUGGUUGGAGGCCCCCGAAUUCCGAUCCGGAAUCCCGAUGCGGCUCACCUCCUGGCAAGAGAGGGGCCUGACGUGGGGUCCCUCGGACGAGCUGACUGGGCUCCAGACGUGCAUCCAGAACAUGAUAGAAAGGAAAAUCAAGCUCGUCAACGUGGUCCAGGUCAUGCUUGUUUGUCGGGUCCUUCCGUGCCAACGCCGAUCUUGUAAUUUCUGGGAGUUCGAGCCGGCAAGCACCAGACGCUACUGGGGCUCUUCGGCAUGA
rnacentral:rRNA from 1 species